UACGUAGGGGGCAAGCGUUGUCCGGAUUUAUUGGGCGUAAAGAGCUCGUAGGCGGCUUUGUAGGUCCGCUGUGAAAACUCGAGGCUCAACCUCGAGCUGUCGGUGGAAACCGUAAAGCUAGAGUCCGGAAGAGGAGAGUGGAAUUCCCGGUGUAGCGGUGAAAUGCGCAGAUAUCGGGAAGAACACCCGUGGCGAAGGCGGUUCUCUGGGACGGUACUGACGCUGAGACGCGAAAGCGUGGGGAGCAAACAGG
rnacentral:rRNA from 1 species